GCGCAUGCGCCCGCGCUCACACUCACCCUCAAGUACUUGGGGGCGGGCCGCGCGCCUCUCGCGAGAACGUUAUCUCAUAGCGCUGCCCCCUAUCGGCCUGGACGACUAUUAGCAGAGAACUUUGGGACUCUAGGUGGUGGCUCCGUGACUGUCCGAUAGGUCACAGAGAGGACCAUAGAGACGAGAGGAAAGAGUACGUUCGGCCGUCCCUCGGCGGCGUCCCUGCAGUGUGUAUUCCGCACUUACGCAGUGCAGUCACGUGAGGAAACCUCCCGCCAAGGGCUGGGAGGUGCGAAUAGAGGAGGAGGCGGGGAGGAGCCAGAGGAGCACCUGACAUUGGUGAGGUAAAGUCAGGUUCUAGGGUUGGAAUACUCGUCUCGAAACUGUGACUUUGAUAAUUAUUAGUAGUUCUAUUUGGGGUUUAUUGAGUAAUACUUCGUAUUUCUGCACCUUUGUCACAGACUGAGUUUCAUUUAUGAUGAAAUGUUACCUGGUGAAAUCCCCCCCUUAUAACGAAAGCAAUAAUGUUCUACUGUUUUUCCCAGAAUGCCAACUUUGCUAGCAGUUACAUGACUAAAUACGAUCCGAAGCGUAGCCAGUUUCAGAAACAAAUAGAAGGAAAAUAGACAUGGGGGUGAGAAUGGUGGCAGACUUAAGGUUUGCGUCACAGAGUUACAAUCUUAGCUGGGAAGACUUUAGCAGGGUAACUGCUUCUGAGGUUGAAGUCACACGCUUCCCCCAUUGCAUCACCAAACUUGGAGCCUUCUCCUUUGCGUGUGCGUGUACAUGUGAAUACAUUUUUAUGUUUCAAAAUUCAAAAGGUACAAAGGUCAUUUAGGGUAGUGGAAAAAGUCUACUCGUGUUUACAAGCCUUCCAGUUCACCUCUUCGGAGGCAAUGUUAUCAGUUUCUUAGGAUCCUUCCGAGAGAUUUUAUGAACAUAAAAGCAAAUAAAUAUGUAUACUUUUCAUGCACUCCCCCCUUUAGACGGAGAUGUUGUAUAAACGGUGCAUUUUUAGCAUCGGUCCCGGUCUGUAUAUUAUUGACUCGAUCUUUUACCCAGCUGCAUAAUGAUUUGUUGUCAGAAUGUACCAUGAUUUAACUAGUCUCAUAAAAAUGGCUAUUUAGGUUAUUUCCAGCCUUGCUGUAAUAAUCAAUGCUACAAUGAACUAGAAUUGGAAUUGCUGGGUCAUAAGUUAUGCAUUCAUAAUUUUGCUAGUUCUCAUUUGUUCUUGCUACAAGUUGUGCCAAUUUGUAUUCUUACCAGCAAAGUAUCUGAGUGCCUGCUUGCCACCUCCAUCCCAUUAAAAUUUCAGUGAGAUUUAAGUUGCAGGUUGAGGUGGAAGAUCCCAGGCCCACCAAGAAUGUCUGUUUCAUACACAUCUUCUUCUUGUCUCUGGUUGUCUUUGAUGGGAUUUAAAACUUGCCCACCUAGGACCCAGUUUUGGAAACUAGAAACAUGAUCUGGGCUGAGAAAAAAAAGACUUCCCUCCAGUAAAUAACUGACUUACUUUCUACUCACAUUCCUCUCAGUCCUCAUGUUCUGGCUGUUCAGCAUCGAUUUCAGUUCUUAUUCCAAAAGAUUGUUGCAUAGUGAAAUUGAGCUCCCAUUUCCACCAUUGACAAUUUGAAUUGUGCCUGGUCAGCCUCCAGACACCUGAGCCCAGAGAUGGAUUUGCAGUGAAAAUUAAGGUAGAAGGAGCAAAGAUAAAGUCCAGAAGCAGAAUAUAUUUGUAUUUUGACCUAAAACUUCAAAAAAAAUCUCCCACUGUAAACCCCAAAACUAUUGCCCUGAAAUAAUCUUUAAACCUUAAACCAAAAAUAUCCCCUGAAGUCUUCUUAAAACCAAACAACAGUUUAGCUUAACUAGUAAAGAAUGUCUGCCUUGAACAUAGUGCUCUUUUAAGAACUAUAUGAAAUCAAAUUGACAACAGCAACUCGAAAGAUUAGAUGGAAAAUUUAGGGAGCAUUGAGUUUAUGUUAACAGUUGAAGGACAGUUCGGUAAAGGAGGGUGACAAAAGUUCCACAACCUGAAGAAUGUAAUCAUUUUCACUAAAUUGUACAUGUCGAAAUUGUUUAUUGGUGUCUGUUCUGCUGUAUAUAUUCUUACCAUCAACAAAAUUAAAUUAUUUUUUAAAAAUCUCCUGCUGUAAAAGACUGGUGAUUAAUGUGGAAAAUAGAUAGAGGGGGAAACCCUUGUUAUUUUAAAGAGAUCCAAAAUAUUAAGACAACAAAUGUAUUUAUAACUUUGCCAGUCUACUUAUUCAGAUAAUUAAAGAGCAGAGUUAAACACUUAAAAAUUACUUUGUCACCCAACCAAGCCAAAGAUUCUUCCAACAGAGGUUGUAGACCUUGUGGAAAUUAAAUUCCUGAAAUUGAAUAACUUAGCCCUGAAUAAAUUAACCCUGAUGGUGCAGAGGCUAAGAGCUCAAUGGCUAACCAAAAGGUUGGCAGUUUGAAUCCUCCAGUCACUCCUUGUAAACCCUAUGGGGCAGUUCUACUCUGUCCUGGAGGGUCACUAAGAGUUGGAAUUGACUCAGUGGCAAUGGGUUUGGCUUUGUUUGGUUUUAUAUUAUCAGACAAUAAUUACUUCAUAAAGGAUUUCUGUGUUUUGAGUGUUAAACUAAUAUGUUUAAUGAAUAUAGUAUGUCAUCACCAACUUACAUUGGACUGACAUUAGUAUUCUGGGAAGGCAAAAACUCGUGCAAAGCGUCAACCAGUUUUUCAAAUCAAUAAGUUGAGUUCUUUCUAAAAAGUCGUCUUUUCAAACAACUAUUCAGAUUACUUUCUUUCACCAAAUUGUGACUUCACAAGGAUUAGCUGACCCAUAAAUUCAGAUAAAAUAGGCAUAUCUGUUUCGUUUGCCAACUCAGUCUAGAGUGGUUACCAAAUGCAGAUCUAUGAACAAGUGAAAGGAGCAGCGUAAAGACAGUCUGUCAGAAUAGAGUAGUCAGAUAUCCUUUUUCAGAAAGAAGGGUCCUUUAUUCUGAGAUUACGUCAUUCCUUCUGUUUUGAUGUUAAGAUGCUAACAUUUCUUUUAUGAAAUGUUGACAGUGUAUGGUAGUGUUAUAAUGUCCUUAUUUGGCAAACUAAAUAGUGAGAGUAUGAGUCCUCUCAGAUUUUUUAUUUUAUUUUUUUAAAUUUUACUUGGCAGGUAAAAUCUAAUUGUCUGAAAAUUGUCUGGGAAUCCCUUAUAUAGGAUUUUUUUUUUUCCUUUCUAAAACUAUAGCUCUGGACAUCUCAAUAAUCCUAGUCUGGAAAAAAAGCUGAAGACAUUGCCUAAAUUUCUUUAGACCUUGCCUUGCUGACGGCAGUUCUUUAUUCACUUCAAGUAGAAUGUGGAGCCAUGUGACUGAGUUCUGGGUAGUGGAACAUGGCUGCAAGAGCCCGUGAAGGACCGUUAAGGCCCCAGAGAAUGGCAGAACUAUAGAUGGAAGCUUGAGUCCCUGAAUGACUGUGUGCAGCAGAGUGUACCUCUCCUCCUUAAAGACAUAGGAGAGUAAGGACCCCUUGGAGAAUUGGGAACUGGACUGAAGACAAAGAGAGCGAGAAGGCGUGGAGGUCUUGUUUUUGCGAACACCCGUCUCCUGCCAUCUAGACCUAAGAGCCUCAUAGACAAGGGCUCUGCUGCCUUCGUGGCUCCUCCAGGUCGGCUGUGCGUGGUGACUGCACUAGAUGUGUUAGGUGGACCAGCUCCUUCUGUGUUCCGCUGCCGUUGCUCUAAGGCAAGGCGACUUUUGCCUCCUCCCUGAAGACUUUCCUGCUCGCUCCAGGUUACAUGUCCUCUCCCUUUCCUGAUCUACAGGUGGGCUUAGAGGUGGCACCACUAGGUUUCCAAGUAUGUUCAGUGUUCUAUGAUGGUUACCUAUUGUCAGUUCCUUCUGGUUAUUGUUUUCCUUUGACAGUAGGAACCAUGUUUUCUGUUGUUUUUAAAUUAGGGUAAAAAUACAUGUAACAAAACAUUUGGCAAUUCAAUAAUUUCUACAUGGACAAUUCAGUGACAUUGAUUACAGUCAUCAUGUUGUAUAACCAUUUCUGCCGUCUGUUUCCAAGUUAUUCCACCACCAUUAACAGAACUAAGUGCCCCCUAGUAAAGACUCUCUUCGUCCUUCCCUCCCACACUUGCUAAGUACUAUAAACUUUGGUCUCUAGACAUUUGUUUAUUUCUUAUAAGUGGAGUCAUACAGUACUUGUCCUUUUGUAACUGACUUACUUCACUCAGAAUAAUGUUUUCAAGGCUUAUCCACAUUGUAGCACGUACCACGAUUUCAUUUCUCUUUGUGGCUGUGCAAUAUUUCAUUACGUGUAUGCGCCCCAUUUUGUUUAUCCAUUCAUCUGUUGGUGGACAUUUAGUUCUUUCCACCUUUUGGCUAUUGUGGAAAGUGUUGCAACGAAUAUUGGUGUGCAAGUCUCUGUUUGCAUUCCUGGUUUAAAACUUCUUCUUUUAAAAAAAAAUUUUUUUCUUGUUGAAAAUAUGCACAGCAAAACAUACACCAAUUCAACAAUUUCUACAUGUACAAUUCAGUGACAUUGAUUACAUUCUUCAAGUUGUGCAACCAUUGUCAUCCUCCUUUUCUAGAUUGUUUCUCCCCUGUUAACAUAAACUCACUGCCCCCUAAGUUUCCUACCGAGACUUUUGAGUUGCUGUUGUCAAUUUGAUCCCAUAUAGAUAGUUCUUUAAAAGAGCACAAUGCUCAAGGCAGACAUUCUUUACUACUUGAGCUAAACUAUUGUUUGGUUUAAAGAAGACUUCAGGGGAUAUUUUUGGUUUAAGGCUUAAUUAUCUCAGGACAAUAGUUUUGAGGGUUCAUCCAGCCUUGAUGGCUCCAGAAAGCCUAGAUUCCAUGAGAAUUUGAAAUUCUGUUCCAUAUUUUCCCCUCUUUUGAUCAGGAUUCGUCUAUAGACUCUUUGAUCAAAAUAUUAAGUCAUGAUCCCUGCUUUCAACUUUUUUAGGCACAUACCUAGGAUUGGGAUUGCUGAGAGGAACCAUGUUUUAUUAAGUGCUUAAUAACACCUAAUAAAUACUUGUUGAUACAUCUGUUAAUUGAAGUGCAGCACCCAGGCCUCAGUUUCUCACAGGUAAAAUGUCAGUCCCCAAAUAUGUCACUUUCAUCACCGGGUAAUAGCUGCACUACAGAAAAGGACCAAAGUUGCAGUGCUUGUCACAAGAUCCAGAGAAACCACAUGGAUAGAUGUAUUUUAGGAAAAAGCAGGAGAAAUUUUUGAACGUUAAAUUCUUGAUUUUUGAGAACCCAUUUUUUUUUUUUUAUUGACUACAAAAUCCUGCAAACAUUUUGACAUGUAAGGGUUGUUUUAAAGCUCAAGUCAGUUUCCCUGUAUGAUCCAGCCUUAAGAAGUUUGCAUUCUUUUAGAAAUGCCUUAACCAAAAAACCAAAAACCAAACCCAGUACCGUCGAGUUGAUUCCGACUCAUAGCGACCCUAUAGCACAGAGUAGUACUGCCCCAUAGAGUUUCCAAAGAGCACCUGGCAGAUUCGAACUGCUGACCCUUUGGUUAGCAGCUGUAGCACUUAGCCACUACGCCACCAGGGUUUCCAAAAAUGCCUAAUGCUGUAUAAAAGCUCACAUUGAUAAAUGGUUAAGCUGUCACACAAGAGGAAUUAUUUUCAUAAGUGAACACGUGGAAAAUGUUCAGACUUCACCAGUAGUUGAGCAAUGCAAAUAGGAACAACUUACAUAAUUAGCCUACAUGUUUCAAAAUGAACAUGUGCUGUGAAGGCCAGGCCUUGACAAAUGCUGCAUCCAGACAUCACUGGUUACAAUAUAAAUUGGCUCAACCCUUUUGAAAAUCAGACAGCAAUUCAGAUGCAAGAACCAUACAAAUGUUUAUAUUCUUUGAUCUAGUAAUUCUAGUUCUUGGAUUCUGUCCUAGGCAAAGAAUCCAAAAGAAGUUGAACAGUAUGUGUUUGAAAGUGCUCACUAUAAUCUUUUUUUUUUUGGUAUUGGAAACUUGGAGACAAGCUAAUAAUGACCACUGGCUGUACUGGGCUCAGCAGUACGGAAACAGCUUUCACACACAUCAUCCCUUUGAUUUUACUGCAGCCCUGGGAGGUGGGUGCUGGUGGGACCUUCACUUGAUAGAUGAAGAGAUUCAUGUUCAGAGUGGCCGAGGUGCACAGAUUACAAUGUUGGGAGAAGACGGAACCAGCCCGAGGCUUUAUGAUUCUGCUGCACCCCUACUGUGACAUACAUUUGUCUAGCAGUUGGGUAAAGGUUAGCUUCAAGAACAUGAUAAAAUAAAGAUCUUGCCAUUAAAACGAUCACCACAAAGGCAAUAUUAAAAAUAUAUAGAGUUGAUUCCGACUCAGGCAAUCCCAUGUGUGUCAGAGUAGAACCGUGCUCCACAGGGUUUUCAGUGGCUGAUUUUUCAGAAGUAGGUCACCAGACCUUUCUUCUGAGGUGCCUCUGGGUGGACUCCAACCAAUCUUUUAGUUAGCACCUGAGUGUAUUAACUUUUUGCACCACCCGGGGUCUCCAAAGGCAAUAUAGCAAUAUCAAAACAAACAAACAAAAAAACUUGACUGAAAAACACCAAAAUAUCAAAGUCAGAUCUUUGUUGUGAUUAACCAAAACCAAACCAAACCCAAUGCCAUCGAGUCGAUUUCGACUCAUAGUGACCCUACAGGACAGAGUAGAACUGCCCCAUAGAGUUUCCAAGGAGUGCCUGGCGGAUUCGAACUGCCGACCCUUUGGUUAGAAGUCAUAGCAUUUAACCACUACUCCACCAUGGUUUCCUUUGUUGUGAUUAUGAUAUAUAAAAUUAGGUGGCCAUAGUCAUUAAGGACUGGAAGGGAAGGGGGGGCCAGAAAGAAAGAAAGAAAGAGAUUUCCUUUUAUUUUAGUACCAUUACGUUUAUAAUUUCAUAUUGCUGCGAACCACCUUUAACUCUUUAGCAGAAUCAUAAUUUUCUCUGGAAAAAUAAGAAUAUAUAGAGAGAAGAGUUCCAUUUGGUUACACUCACUUUGAGAACUAUGAAAGUACCUAGAAAUCAAAUAAGGCUUUUCAUGGGAUUAUAGAUCAGAGAGUAACAAAGGCCUACGCUGAAUGGGCCAGUGCUGGUGGCAGAGGCUGGGGCCAGCGUCACAAGUCCCAUGGACUGGCUGCUUCAUCUCAAUGACACUUGUGAAGUGAGUCUUGUGUGGAGUACGGGGAGGUGGGACCUUCUUGUGAGGCUGACAAAAGAGGGCUGGGUUUGCCAAGUGGAAUCAGGCUCUGGGAGGCUGGAGGAGCUCCUAUUGUCCCAGGCUCUAGUGAUUAAAUGCCGGAUUAAAGAGGAAACGUUCCUUCCACCCUCCCUGCCCCCCAGCCUCGGUUCAUCAGGCCCAUUCACAGCGCUCCUUCCAAAAAAUAUUGACAAGGGUGCCUUCCAUUCAUUGGCCUCCCAGCUGACACUGCCACCCAGACAAAGGUGCUUCAGGGGGUUAAUUACAACCAGGUAACCGAAGGAAUCAAGGACCAACACUUCAAAAAUGCCACAGGGGCUCUGGGGCAGAGACAAGACAUAUGGUGGGAAAGGCACCUCCUGGACUCCGCUCACACAUACCGGCUGUGGCUGCGCUUGGUGAUUUUCUUGGGCUGAUAGACACGAGGAACUAGCUUCUCCCCACUUUUUACCCUUCUACAGACCAAGCACGCUGGGUCUAGCUGCCCGUGCUAGUCUAGCUAGUUUUCUGUCCUUUCCAGACAAGACGGGCAUCUGCCAGUGUCAUCUGCAGCAUCUUCAUCAAUCUGACGUGGAUAUUUGGUUCUCUUUGUCACAGAGGGCAUGCCUUUUCAGCAGUACUCUCACAGAAUGUGGAAGGAUGCCGGGAGAUGAGGCUGGUGGCCCGGGCUGAACUUAGUGUUACUGCAGUCUGACAUACUGGAUCGCAGCAGGUUGACAGAAAGGAUAGAAAGGUUGGGGAGAAAGCUUUAAAAAAUAGUGCCUGGAAUAAAGAGAGACAUAAUUUUUAGACCCCAAAUGUUCACCAAAUUUUCAUUUUUUAAAAAAAGGAAAGUGUUUUGCAUUAAAAAAAAAAAACAAAAACCAAUUGCCAUUGAGUCAAUUUCAGCUCAUAGCGACCCUAUAGGACAGAGUAGAACUGUCCGAUUGGGUUUCCAAGGAGCAGGUGGUGGAUUCAAACUGCCAACCUUUUGGUUAGCAGCCAAGCUCUUAAUCACUGUGCCACAUUUUGUGUAGUGUCUUUAAAUAGGAGGCAUUCAAUAAAUGCAUGUUGCAGGUGAAUAAAAUGAGUGAUUUAGGAAGUAGGACAUAAUAAGAACCAUGCCAGAUUGCCUGGGCUUUGGCACCUACCACCUGUGUGACCUUAGACAAGUUAAGGGCUUUGGCACCUACCACCUGUGUGACCUUAGACAACUUAAGCUCAGUUUCCUCAUCUGAAAAAUGAGGAUAAUAACAAUAAUAGUGUUUGCCUCAUGCAUACUGUUAUGGGGAUUGAAAGUAUUAACAUAUGCAAAGCAGUUAGAUUAGCAUCUGUCAGAUAAAACAGGCUAUGUGUCAGCUGUUGUUAGGACUUACAUCCAGACGUGUAUUAAUAGCAUCCGCCUUCCUAUGGUGCUGAAGGGAACGGAAACGCCAGUAUCAAGAGGGACAGCUCUGGUGACUUCUUUAGAUUGUAUAUCCUUAAGUACAGUUCUAAAUGUGCAUAUUAGCAUAUGGAGUUCAGAAGUUUCUUGGAAUGCAAGAAUCAUGGGAAUACAAGGAAUGUUUGAUGUUAUGAAGUCUGUUAUCAUAAUUGAGUAUAUUAAUAAGUCAGAGAAGAAAAACUCCAUAAUUAUCUUUUUGGUUGCCCAAAGAGCUUUUUAUCAAAACCCAACAGCCACUUUUGAUAUGAAAAGCUUUAAUUAGGAAUAGAGGGAUACACACUGGACAUGAUAGAGGCACAUGUAAACACAGACACACGUGUCAAUUGAGAAAACUACCAGGGUGCUUAACAGUAAAAUGCAAGAAGUGUUUUCCAUUAUCAAAGAUAGGACAAUAUCGACUGCUAUGGGCACACUGUUAUUUAAUAUUAUUCUGGAAGUACUAGCCAAUGCGAUUAGACAAGAGGAAAAAAGGCUAUAAAUAUGGGAGGGAAUUAUUUGCAGAUGAUAUUAUUGUAUAUCUCCAAAACCCAUAAAUAAUCAAUUGAAAACCUGUUAGAAAUAACGAUAUAAGUCAGUUAAGUGCCUGGUUAGAAAGUCAUAUAAAAAUUCGUAGUUUUUCUGUAUGGGAAUACAGUGAGAUGGAAUUGACUAGUCUAAGUCUGGUAGGCUGGGUGAAUUUCCUGCCUCUACCAAGCAGGUGUCGUUCCGCCCCUGAGCAGUGGGCUGUGACUGGAUACAUUUCUGCUGGAUAAACUGAAGUGGUGAUUUGGACAGCAAGGCAAGUCUUCGUCAAGGCGCACCUUUUUGUUGCUUCUGGUUACCUGCUGGCAGGAAUUAGCUGAGGAGUUUGUUGUAUGUGCCAUGUGUGUCAAACUGGAAUCUUUGAAGUUGUUCAAAUAAAGAGGAUUAGUCAUAGUUCUAGGGAGAUGUAAAGACUAAGGCAAAAGAAGUAGAGUUUAUACGGUUUUAUGCCUCUGUUGACCUGACAUAGACACAUCUCCUUGUACUAUAUGGGUAUUUUCUGCACUGUUUGCAUUGAGAAGGUCACGAUUUAAUCAAUUCUGUACGGUACUAGACCUCCUGUAUCCAUGAAAAAAGAAGAUGUUCCGCCAUUAUCUUAACAGUACAUCUAAUACAAAACGGCAGUGCAAUUCUGUCAGAAAGUUACUUCUCAGAAUGUUAAAUUUGUGUUUAAGUUCCAAACAGCGUAUAUUGCUUUUAAGCUGACUUUCUGAUCUCUUGCCACUAAGCCUGACACGCUCUUUAUUCUCAUUCGCUGUAUCUAAUAAUUUAUUUGUUUUUUCUCUAAAAUGUAUUUUAAGGACUGAAGCUAUAUUUAACAACAUUUUUGAAAUUACAUGAUUUUUUUUCUUAUUUAUUCUCCAUGGUCAAAUACACGUAAUUAAAAAACGUGUUACCUUUUUCAAGUGCUGACUAGUUAGGCAACACAGAACUUGGUAAGUGACAUAAAGCUUCACCCAUAAGCCCUAAACCUUGAAUUCUGCAUACUCACGUAUUUCACCCAGAGUACCAGAGGGAUGCCAUUUGAUAACAUCAAAAAACCAAAAACCAAAUCCACUGUCGUUGAGUCAAUUCUGACUCAGAUGCCGACAAGACAGAGGUGCCUGUAGGUGUUUGCAGAAACUUUUAAUUUUUAAAAAGCCAUUCAUUUAGAAAAGACCCAAAUAUAUAUUUUACAAAGAAGCUUGAAGAAGUCUGGGGCUGUAUAAUACUGUUUUGACAACAAGAUGCUUGUAAAUAUGUACGUGUGAAAAAUAAUUAUAAAGUAGAAAACCAUUCCAUUUGGUGCCCCCUACACGUAAGUCGGAAGCCCUGGUGGCGUAGUGGUUAAGAACUAUAGCUGUUAACUAAAAGGUUGGCAGCUUGAAUUCUCCAGGCACUCCUUGAAAACUCUAUGAGGCAGUUCUAUUCUGUCCUAUAGGUUCGCUAUAGGGUCGCUAGGAGUCGG